rnacentral:rRNA from 1 species
UACGUAGGGGGCUAGCGUUGUCCGGAUUUAUUGGGCGUAAAGAGCUCGUAGGCGGUUUGUCGCGUCGGCUGUGAAAACUCGGGGCUCAACCCCGAGCCUGCAGUCGAUACGGGCAAACUAGAGUGUGGUAGGGGAGACUGGAAUUCCUGGUGUAGCGGUGAAAUGCGCAGAUAUCAGGAGGAACACCGGCGGCGAAGGCGGGUCUCUGGGCCAUAACUGACGCUGAGGAGCGAAAGCGUGGGAGCGAACAGG